CCCUUAGAUGUUCUGGGCCGCACGCGCGCUACACUGAUGCAUUCAACGAGUCUAAAACCUGCUCUGAUAGGGGUGGGUAAUCUUUUGAAUGUGCACCGUGAUUGGGAUAGAUGAUUGCAAUUUUUCAUCUUCAACGAGGAAUGCCUAGUAAACGCAAGUCAUCAGCUUGCAUUGAUUACGUCCCUGCCCUUUGUACACACCGCCCGUCGCUCCUACCGAUUGAAUGAUCCGAUGAAUAUCAUGGAUUGAGGAUUAUAGCAGGUUCGCCUGUCUUGAUCUUCGAGAAGUGAAGUAAAUCUUAUCAUUUAGAGGAAGGAGAAGUCGUAACA
rnacentral:rRNA from 1 species